CUCCCGUAGGAGUCCGGGUGAAGUCUUCCUUGUGGGCGAAACCCGGCUCCCGUAGGAGUCCGGGUGAAGUCUUCCUUGUGGGUGGAACCCGGCUCCCGUAGGAGUCCGGGUGAAGUCUUCCUUGUGGGCGGAACCCGGCUCCCGUAGGAGUUCGGGUGGAGUCUUCCUUGUGGGCGGAACCCGGCUCCCGUAGGAGUCCGGGUGAAGUCUUCCCUGUGGGCGGAACCCGGCUCCCGUAGGAGUCCGGGUGAAGUCUUCCUUGUGGGCGGAACCCAGCUCCCG
rnacentral:lncRNA from 1 species